rnacentral:lncRNA from 1 species
CUGGUGUCCUGAGACAUCUGCAUUUACUGACCCGCUGCGAGCCCAACGUGUGCGAUGGCUGACUCGCUGUUCCUGUCUGUCUCUCCUGGCAGCUGAGUGACUGCUACAAGGGAGUGGUGUUUGAUGGCCUGGAGACCCUCUUUGCGAGCAGCCUGGCAUCUUCUCUCCUGUGCAUGCUCAAAGCUGUCAGCAAUCGCCCUCAUAUCCACGUUGUGAACAUCUUCCAGGAUUCUGAGUUUUGGAAAGGCAGGCAGAUAGCUGCAAGAGAGAAGAGGGCAGCUAAAAAAGAGCAGAAAGGUGAGAUAUCUCCACCCCUCUCAAAUCUCUCUCAAGCCCUCAACCUUAGCUGUGUGUAUCUGGGUUUGCAGCAGAGCUUGUAAGAAAUCUUUUUAUUGAUCCUUCCACCUUCUGCCUCAGUGUAGCCAGCACUCAGCUCACAGCUUCUUUACAUACAGCAGAGCUGAGGCUGUAAGACUCACCUUAAUCUCCAUCAUUAAAGCUUGGGUGCAAGUGCAAGCUGGCGUGGCUCAGUGAGCAGCCCCCAGCCAGCUGUCCACAGCCGUGGUGCACCUGAGCCAGGCCACAGUUUGGGGGGCUGUCUGAAUUCUGGAGCAGGGAUGUGAGCUCCGCAGUGUCUCCUGGCAGGGUGAGAGGCUGGGUCAGGAAAGAGCUGUGAAUCCUCCCAGCUGACCCAGAGCCCCAAGCUCUGCUCGCAGUCACUGAUGGCUUCUCUUGUGGUCUGUGCUGAAGCACGGGAGAAGGAAGAAGCUGCCCGGAGAGAGGAAGAACGUCUCUGGGAUGUGGAUGUGGACGAGUACGAAGCCCUCUCUGAGAAGCAGACAGCUCUGCUUGAUUACAAAAUAGAACAAAUCAAGCGUGAGCGGAGGGAGAGAAGGGAGCUGGAGUGGCUGGCUCGAGAGCAUAAGGAAAGCAAAAAGGCGUCAUCACGAGCCUCAGAGAAGCAAGAUGGGCAGCAAGAAACCAAAAUCCCAGAGGUGCCAAGUAAGCGGGACAGGAUCUUGGACCUGAGGUUUGACAUCUGUGAGUCUUCUCAGAAGAAGAUCAAACAUAUUCUGUCAUCCUGGGACAGGGUUCAGGGUAUCAUGAACCAAGUGCCAGACAAGUCCCACUCUUCCCCUAAACACAAAGAUGAGAAGAAGAGCAGUAAGUCUCCGGAGAAGCCAGAGGAGAAGCCUCUGAAAAAACAUGGCAGCCACAAGAGUCUUCAGCGGGAAGGGGAAGUUGCAGAAGGCUCAGUCGGAAGCCAGGAUGCCGGAGUGCCCUGCUUGGACUUCCACGUCACGCACCAUGAAAAGGUGUUUAGGAGGAUCCUGAAGAGCAAGAAGCUGCCACCAGCAAAGCAGGUAAAAGCCUGCAAGGCUCAGAUGCUGAACUUGCCGUGGUCUGGGGCCCUGGAACAGUGUGCCCCCCAGGUGAUAAGAACACAGAGCCUUGUCGAGGCCACUGAUGAUGUUCCACAAUAGCUCCACAGUAUCUCUGGGGAUGGGGAGGUUCUCAGCCUCCCUCAGAUGUGU